rnacentral:rRNA from 1 species
GAACCGUCCAAACGUUAUUCGGAAUCAUUGGGCUUAAAGGGUGCGUAGGCGGUGUGGUCAGUUGGGUGUGAAAUCCCUCGGCUCAACCGAGGAACUGCGCCCAAUACUGCCACACUCGAGGGAGACAGAGGUAAGCGGAACUGAUGGUGGAGCGGUGAAAUGCGUUGAUAUCAUCAGGAACACCAGUGGCGAAGGCGGCUCACUGGGUCUCUUCUGACGCUGAGGCACGAAAGCUAGGGGGGAGCGAACGGGAUUAGAUACCCCGGUAGUCCUAGCUGUAAACGAUGAGCACUUGAUCGGAGACUCCCUCCAUAGGUUUCCGGUCGUAGCGAAAGCGUUAAGUGCUCCGCCUGGGAGUAUGGUCGCAAGGCUG